rnacentral:lncRNA from 1 species
UUUUAAGUUUCCGAAUUUGUGUUGGGCCGCAUUCAAAGCUGUCCUGGACCACAUGCAGGCCAGAGGUUUGACAAACUUGAUGUAAAACCUCAGUAUAUAAGGCAGAUAGAGCAGGACCUCUUUUGUUGAAGGGGUGUGUUAAGCCUCCCCAGCCAUGUGGAACUGUAAGUCCAAUUAAACCUCUUUUCCUUCCCAGUCUCAGGUAUGUCUUUAUCAGCAGCGUGAGAAUGGACUAAGACGCCAGAGAAGCUGAGCCUGGAUGGACUUUUUGGAGCCUGUAUCCAGGCCCUGGGAUCUGAGUCCAUGUGACCACAACAAGGCAGACAUGGCUGCCAAUUCCAGCAGGUGCAGAGCAGGAGUCCUCUCUGGUUGGCUGUGCUCUGCCCCUCAGGCAUGGGGCCAAGACAGAAACAUCUGAAGUGGGUCUUCCCGGUCACCCCUGUCCACCUGGGCCUGGCCCACCCAACAGCUGGGGGUUAGUGCCUUGCAGAAAUUUGAGAAGGCUAGAGAGUUGGGUAAUCAUGACUCUGAAAGCCAGCAUCCACAGUCCCCCAGAGAGCCGGGCCAAAGUGGAUGACACCUCCAGGUUCUGGGGACUCCCAGGUUUGGAUUUAGGACUGAGACUGGAGCUAGAGGCCCAUAGGCAUCUCUACUUAUGGGGGCCCCGGUGUGUGUUCACUGCUGUGUGUAGGUGUGAAGGGAAGGGGUAUAGAACAUGGCUCCUCAUGGCUGUCUAGAGGACAUGGGAAGCAUUCUAGGCCUCAAAUCAACAAUGAUCCCAACUCAAUCUGAACCAAGAGCUCACCAUCAGGCUUGACACAGGAGACCCAGAGUCUAAGACAUAGGGGCCUCAACAACACUGCUGUCCCUUCCACUGGACAGGGUCCCCAGAGCAGCCCCUCCUAGGUCCACAGCUGCAGCCACUAGAGCUGCAGCCACUAGAGCUGCAACCACUGUUUGCUUGACCUGACAAUUUCUGAGAGCUGGAUGGGCAAUGACUCUGGUUGGAUGCUGCAGAGGACACCCAUGAGCUUCAGGGAGAGGUCUUCAGUGGAGCGGCUCCUGCACCAUCCUGGGCAGAGGCACAGACAAGUCCUGAAUUAUCAACUCUCGAGAGAAGGACCAUAUGCCCAGCACAGUCGCAGAGACCUAGUGAGCCCCAGGGAUGCUACUAGAGGAAUAAAAACAGUUGAGUUAGCGACGUUGAGUGCAUUGAUGAGUAGUUGAGAGCAGCAAUGACACUGCUCUGGAAUUGGCCUCUUCUACCAGCACUGCACCAUUAACAAGAUCCUAACCUAUUCCAUGUUAUUUCACAAAACAUACUUGAAGAAGGUGAGGGGGAAGAAUGAGAAUCCACCAUCUAUGAAAAUGGAGAUGGGAAUUCAGCUUGGACUAGAAAAGGUAGCACACUGCUAAUCCUCUCUCAUCUUCUCCAGGAAGCUUUCUAAAGCCUGCUUCUGUAAGGUUCUCUGGACCCAAAGUCACAUACUGGGAAGGAAGAGAAGCCUUUGGAUAAACAUCAUGAAUUUUCCUGGAGCAACUGUUCUAUUUAAGAUUUUAUAUAAUAUUUUUUGGAAAGAAGGGAAUAGGUUUUAAAAAAUAUUUUCAAAAGUGUAACAUCCAUCUAUGCUCAUUUUAGACAAUUUGAUCAGUAUAAAAUAUUAAAUAAGAACGUUAAAAACCACUUGGACUCUUACCUAUCAUAAAUAACCACUGUAUUACUGGAUUUUGGUGAAUAUCUUUUAAUUGUGUGUGUUUGUGAGUAUGUGUUUGUAAUCAGAUUUUUUUAAAUUUGAGGCUAUAUUCUAGUCAGCUUUUUAUGUCAAUGGAUUUAAGAAUAUGUUACAUCACUUUAAAUGUAAUGUAUGGAUAUACCACAAUUUAUUUAACUAAUACCCUAUUAAUGAAUAUUUAAGAUGUUUUCUUUUCUUUUUUUUUUGAGAUAAAGUCUCACUCUGUUGCCCAGGCUGGAGUGCAGUGGCGUGAUCUGGGCUCACUGCAACCUCCACCUCCUGAGUUCAAGUUGAUUCUCCUGCUCAGCCUCCCGAGUAGCUGGGAUUACAGACACGCACCACCAUGCCCAGCUAAUUUUUGUAUUUUUAGUAGAGACAGGGUUUCACCAUGUUGGCCAGGCUGAGCUUGAACUCCUGACCUCAGAAGAUCCGCCCACCUAGGCCUCCCAAAGUGCUGGGAUUACAGGCGUGAGCCACGCUUCCAGCCAGGAUGUUUUCAAUGAAAAAAGAUUUUUGAUGAUGUUGUUAUGAAACAUUCUUUAAUAUAUAUACUUGCCUACUUAUUCAAUUAUUUCUUUAUGGCAAAUUCCUACAAAAUGAGUCACAGAAAGUAUUUAUUUUGGUAGCUGAACACACACACACGCUCGUAUAGAUAUAUUCACACAUACACAUACACACAUGUAUACAUACGUAUGUAUGUGUAUAUAUAGACCUAUUCACAUGUACACACAUAUAUACAUACAUAUGUAUGUGUACAUAUAUAUAUAUAAAGUCAAAAAUGUUUUAAACUUAAAUAUGGUUGUUACUUCUUGAGAAGAGACUGGGAUUGGGGAUGCAGUCAGAGGAAUUUGACCAAACCUAUAAUCUUUUAGUUUUUUCACAGGGAGAAAAUAUAUGUAUAACUUAAAAUUAGUUAAAAUUAAGGGUAACAAUAACCAAAAAUGGACAAGAUAAAGUAGUUAUCAAGUGGCAAUCACACAUCAUUGCAAAUAAAAUGAUCUGCUUCCUUUUGCUGAAAAUACUUAACGGUAACUACUGGAAGAAUAGAAAUACGAUAUGUAAAUGUUAAACUGCUGAAAGAAAAAAACAAAGGGAACCAGGACACCUAAAACCUUGAUUAAUCCAACAAAAGUAAGAAAUGAAAAAAUUAAAAGAAACAACAAGAAAGCGCAUAACUAAAAAGUACAAGCAUGUGGACAAAUAUGUCCAAAUAUGCCAAUAUUUGGAAUUAAUAUGAUUUGGUUAAUGUGUCUAUUAAAAGAUGGCAACUCUCUGGAUAACAAAACCAAAUGCAGUUAUAUGUUACUUAAAAGGGACACACAUGAAAAAAUGACACAAAGUUUCAAAAUAAAGGAGUGGAAAAGAUGUAUUAACUAAGGAAAUGCUGGCACCAAGAAGUAGAUAUGCCAAUAUUAAUAUAAGAUAAAAUGAAUCCAAAGCCCAAAGAAUUCAUGGUCACAGAAGACUAUUUAUUUAUUUCUUUAUUUAGAGAUGGGGUCUUGCUCUGUCACCCAGGCUGGAGUGCAGUGGCAUGAUCUUGGCUCACUGCAAUCUCCAUCUCCCAGGUUCAAGCAAUUCUCCUGCCUCAGCCUCCCAAGUAGCUGGGAUUACAGGUGUAUGCCACCAUGCCCAGCUAAUUUUGUAUUUUUAGUAGAGACGGGGUUUCUCCAUGUUGGCCAGGCUGGCCUCGAACUCCUGACCUCAAGUGAUCUGCCCGCCUUGGCCUCCCAAAGUGCUGGGACUACAGGCGUGAGCCACCGUGCCUGGCCAAAGAAGACUUUUUUUUAUUUUGUUCGUGUCCACCCAUGAACCUUUGUGCAUAGCUCCAAAAUGUAUAAAGCAAAGAUGAUAGGACAAGUAGACAAAAAAUAACCCAAGGAUUGAGAGGUGCACUUUCCAAUAUAGUAGCCACUAGCCACACAGUAUAGCCAGUAGUCACUAGGUUAUUUAAUACUUCAAAUAUGGCUAAUCCACGUUGAAAUGUGCUAUAAAGUGUAAAACAUACAUUGGAUUUCAAAGACUUGGUAUGAAAAAAUAAAGUAAAAUAGCUCGAAUAUUUUAAAUAUUGAUUAUAUUUUGAAAAGAUCAUACUUUAGAUAUGAGUUAAAUAAAAUCUAUUAAAAUUAUGAGAACUUAUGAACACAAAGAAGGAAACAACGACACUGGGGUCUUCUUGAGGGUGGAGGUUGGGAGGAGGGAGAGGAGCAGAAAAGAUAAAUAUUGGGUAGUGAGCUUAAUUCCUGGGUGAUGAAAUGAUCUGUAUGACAAACCUCUGUGACAUGAGUUUAUAUAUGUAACACACCUUCACAUGUACCCUCAAACCUACAAUAAAAGUUAAAAAAGAUUGCAACCUAAAAUAAAUGGAUAAAUAAAAUCUGUUAAAAUUAAU